rnacentral:lncRNA from 11 species
GGGAGGGGAACUCACUAUGUGUCCUCCACUCCUGCCCACCUUGCCAUCCUUCAUCCUGGUGCAACAAUCAGGCUAGGUCCUCAUGUAAGCUGCCCUGAGUCCCUUUGGGGAGAUGGAGGUAUGUUAUAAGGUUGUUGUUGUUGUUGUUGUUGUUGUUGUUAUUGUUAUUAUU